rnacentral:miRNA from 1 species
UGUGUGUGUGUGUGUGUGUGCACGUGUAAUUAUAUAUAUAAAAUUACACACACACACACACACACACACACACACACACACACACACACACA